rnacentral:rRNA from 1 species
UACAGAGGGUGCGAGCGUUAAUCGGAAUUACUGGGCGUAAAGCGCGCGUAGGCGGCUUUUCAAGUCGAUUGUGAAAUCCCCGGGCUUAACCUGGGAACUGCAGUCGAGACUGUCUAGCUAGAGUAUGGGAGAGGGAAGUGGAAUUUCAGGUGUAGCGGUGAAAUGCGUAGAUAUCUGAAGGAACAUCAGUGGCGAAAGCGACUUCCUGGACCAAUACUGACGCUCAUGUGCGAAAAGCGUGGGGGAGCAAACAGG